rnacentral:rRNA from 1 species
CAGCCGCCGCGGGAAUACGAAGGGUGCAAGCGUUAAUCGGAAUUACUGGGCGUAAAGCGUGCGUAGGCGGUGAGUUAGGUCUGCUGUGAAAUCCCCGGGCUCAACCUGGGAAUGGCAGUGGAUACUGGGCCACUAGAGUGUGGUGGAGGAUAGUGGAAUUUCCGGUGUAGCAGUGAAAUGCGUAGAGAUCGGAAGGAACAUCUGUGGCGAAGGCGACUAUCUGGGCCAACACUGACACUGAGGCACGAAAGCGUGGGGAGCAAACAGGAUUAGAGACCCCUGUAGUCCCUGUCUCUUAUAC